GAGAUAGUAGAACUAGCCAAGACGUGGACCCUUAGUACAAUAGAUUAUCGUGUUAUGUCCUCAUCUAAUCAAAUUGGUAGAGACAUACACAGUCAGUUGUGCAGCCAGAGCAGGAAGAAGAGAUAUUUUCAAAAUAUUAUGUAUAAUAUUCGAAAUAUUUACAGAUAUUAAAAUGAAGCUUCUUCAAACACUUAGUAUUAUUUUUAAGAAUUCGCGACGGAGCGUCACCCGUAAGGUUCGCGAAGUAGGAGGACGAUCUAACGCCACUGAAAUAUGCGGGGGUGAAAAUCAAUAAAACGACUAAGGGUGCCCACCACUACGAGCUACCAUAGAGAACGCGGCGGAUUCGAGUGCGCCGGCCACGCUUCGCGCACUCCCAUACCUGCAUACAAACGCACUUUGGGUGGGUUACAGCUAUCAACUGAGGUACUACAUCUGUAGUGCACCUAACCGCACACACAAUAGAGUACAAAACCAUACUCGAGCUUCACACACCUGCAGCGUGCGCAUCCUGGCCCCCGGACCGCUCUCGGCUCGAGCAGCUCAUAUAUAUCUUAUAGCUACAUAUUAUAUCUAAUAUCAUUUAUAGAACAAGGUGAACUAAGUAGAAUUGAAACAAAGAAGCCUUACAAAGCCAAUUGUUGACUGAAAGUUACAAACAUCUUACAAUUCAAGUUUGAAGUUUUAAAAAGAUUUCUCUAUGAAUAAAACAAAAGUUUCUUAUGAUUUAAUCUUCUUAUGACUUACGGUACAGCAACUUACUUUUUAGUAAAGAAUUAAAAUUGAA